CGAACCCACUAACGUUGAAAAGUUAGGGGAUGAGCUGUGGAUAGGGGUGAAAGGCUAAACAAACCUGGAAAUAGCUGGUUCUCUCCGAAAACUAUUUAGGUAGUGCCUCGUGUCUCACCUUCGGGGGUAGAGCACUGUCAUGGUUGGGGGGUCUAUUGCAGAUUACCCCGCCAUAGCAAACUCCGAAUACCGAAGAGUGCAAUCACGGGAGACAGACAUCGGGUGCUAACGUCCGGUGUCAAGAGGGAAACAACCCAGACCGCCAGCUAAGGUCCCCAAAUAUGGCUAAGUGGGAAACGAAGUGGGAAGGCUAAAACAGUCAGGAGGUUGGCUUAGAAGCAGCCACCCUUUAAAGAAAGCGUAAUAGCUCACUGAUCGAGUCGUCCUGCGCGGAAGAUGUAACGGGGCUAAGCCAUAUACCGAAGCUGCGGAUGCGUGCUUGCACGCAUGGUAGGAGAGCGUUCCGUAAGCCUGCGAAGGUGCCUUGUAAAGGGUGCUGGAGGUAUCGGAAGUGCGAAUGCUGACAUGAGUAGCGAUAAAGGGGGUGAAAGGCCCCCUCGCCGUAAGCCCAAGGUUUCCUACGCAACGUUCAUCGGCGUAGGGUGAGUCGGCCCCUAAGGCGAGGCAGAAAUGCGUAGCUGAUGGGAAGCAGGUCAAUAUUCCUGCACCAUUGUUAGAUGCGAUGGGGGGACGGAUCGCGGAAGGUUGUCCGGGUGUUGGACGUCCCGGUCGCUGCAUUGGAGAAGGCGCUUAGGCAAAUCCGGGCGCGGAAUUCAAGGGUGUGGCGCGAGCUCCUUAGGGAGCGAAGCAAUUGGAAGUGGUUCCAAGAAAAGCCUCUAAGCUUCAGUCUAACGAUGACCGUACCGCAAACCGACACAGGUGGGCGAGAUGAGUAUUCUAAGGCGCUUGAGAGAACUCGGGAGAAGGAACUCGGCAAAUUGGUACCGUAACUUCGGGAUAAGGUACGCCCUUGUAGCUUGACUGGCCUGCGCCAGGAGGGUGAAGGGGUUGCAAUAAACUGGUGGCUGCGACUGUUUAAUAAAAACACAGCACUCUGCAAACACGAAAGUGGACGUAUAGGGUGUGACGCCUGCCCGGUGCCGGAAGAUUAAAUGAUGGGGUGCAAGCUCUUGAUUGAAGUCCCGGUAAACGGCGGCCGUAACUAUAACGGUCCUAAGGUAGCGAAAUUCCUUGUCGGGUAAGUUCCGACCUGCACGAAUGGCGUAACGAUGGCCACACUGUCUCCUCCCGAGACUCAGCGAAGUUGAAGUGUUUGUGAUGAUGCAAUCUACCCGCGGCUAGACGGAGAGACCCCAUGAACCUUUACUGUAGCUUUGCAUUGGACUUUGAACCGAUCUGUGUAGGAUAGGUGGGAGGCUAUGAAACCGGAACGCUAGUUUCGGUGGAGCCGUCCUUGAAAUACCACCCUGGUUUGUUUGAGGUUCUAACCUUGGUCCGUGAUCCGGAUCGGGGACAGUGCAUGGUAGGCAGUUUGACUGGGGCGGUCUCCUCCCAAAGGGUAACGGAGGAGUACGAAGGUACGCUAGGUACGGUCGGAAAUCGUGCUGAUAGUGCAAUGGCAUAAGCGUGCUUAACUGCGAGACCGACAAGUCGAGCAGGUGCGAAAGCAGGUCAUAGUGAUCCGGUGGUUCUGUAUGGAAGGGCCAUCGCUCAACGGAUAAAAGGUACUCUGGGGAUAACAGGCUGAUACCGCCCAAGAGUUCAUAUCGACGGCGGUGUUUGGCACCUCGAUGUCGGCUCAUCUCAUCCUGGGGCUGUAGCCGGUCCCAAGGGUAUGGCUGUUCGCCAUUUAAAGAGGUACGUGAGCUGGGUUUAAAACGUCGUGAGACAGUUUGGUCCCUAUCUGCCGUGGGCGUUGGAUAUUUGAAGGGGGCUGCUCCUAGUACGAGAGGACCGGAGUGGACGAACCUCUGGUGUACCGGUUGUGACGCCAGUCGCAUCGCCGGGUAGCUAUGUUCGGAAGAGAUAACCGCUGAAAGCAUCUAAGCGGGAAACUCGCCUUAAGAUGAGAUAUCCCUGGAGGCUUGACCUCCUUGAAGGGUCGUUCGAGACCAGGACGUUGAUAGGUCGGGUGUGUAAGCGCAGUAAUGCGUUCAGCUAACCGAUACUAAUUGCCCGUAAGGCUUGAUCCUAUAACA
rnacentral:rRNA from 1 species